rnacentral:lncRNA from 14 species
GAGAGGAGAGAACAGGAGAGGAGAGGAGAGGAGAGGAGAGGACAGGGUUUCUCUGUGUAGCCCUAGCUGUCCUGGAUCUCACUCUGUAGACCAGGCUAGCCUUGAACUCAGAGAGCCACCUGCCUCCGCCUCUGCCUCCUGAAUGCUGAUAUCAAAGGCGCCACCACUGCCUGACUGAUCUUAAAGUUAACCAGGAGCUCGGAAUGUACCUGUACAGUGUCUGUCUCUACACAAAGCCCUGGAUUUGACCGCUAGCCCCAGAUAGUCCAGGCAUACUUGUCAUCCCAGCACUUGGGAGACUGACUAGGUGGGAGGAUGAAGGAGAGUUCAAGGCCAGCCUGAGCUACAUACUGAGAACCUGUCUCAAAACGGACGGGAAAGGAGGAAUACCACCUCUGCUGAAGAGACAGGCAUCCACCCAGGAUGAGCCGACCAAACUUUAUGGCAUAAAAGAGCACAGCCAAGAUUGCCUUAUGGCCUUACCCAGAAGUCUUCAGGGUACGAGCCCUCCUACGAUAGGUACUCGUAGGAGACCUGGACCGGCUCAGAGGGUCCAGCGGGUGCCUCACCUGUCAUCAUUCCACCCCCAUCCCACCUCCGUCUCCUCUUCUGCCCUUUCCCUCAGGUCUCAGCCCAGCCUUCUUGUUUUAUCCUAUCCAGGGAGUAGCCAGAUGUCUGCGUUUGGUGUUGCACCCCUGGCAGCUGCCAGUCAACCCAACAGCCUUGCAGAUGUGGGUGGCCUCCUGGAACCCAGGAUGGCUGCUGGAGGUCUCCCUGGCAGUGUUUUCGGGAUGCCCAGCCAGGUUCCUGCCCUACAGUCGGCUGUGCCAGGGGUUGGCGGCAGCACAGGGCUCCCCUUUGGAGCCUUCACCAAUCCCUUCACCACCCCUGCCCAACCCCAGCUGCCUUCCACCAACCCAUUCCAGCCCAAUGGUAUAGCCUCAGGUAAGUCCCCAGAACCGAUUCUACGUUCUUUAGAGUACUGGCUCUCCUCGACCUAUGUCUCUCACUAACCAAAGAGUAGACAGCAUCCUGCUCCUCCCCCACCACUGCCCGCCAACCCAGGACAGUCCCAUCUGCAAAUCCAAGCCACCUAGUGGUCUAAACAUAGAAGCAUCCAUGCCACAAUGAACAGAAAGUCACAGAAAAAGUGCCACGUGGUGCUGUGCCCCUGUAACACCAGUACUGCUGAAGAGAGGAUCAUCACAGGUUCAAGGACAGGCGGGGUACAUGGUAGGGUCCGGGCCAGCCUGGUCUACAUAGUGAGACUCUGUCUCAAAAAGAAAAGAUUUAAAGGAAGAAAGGAAGGAAGUCAAGAAAGAAUUGGGUGAGUGGAGGAGAGGAAGGGAGGGGGAGGGAGGCAUGCCUUUCCCCCAAGUCGGUU